rnacentral:rRNA from 1 species
AUUGAACGCUGGCGGAAUGCUUUACACAUGCAAGUCGAGCGGCAGCGCGGGGGCAACCCUGGCGGCGAGCGGCGAACGGGUGAGUAAUACAUCGGAACGUGUCCUUAAGUGGGGGAUAGCUCGGCGAAAGCCGGAUUAAUACCGCAUAAGCUCUGAGGAGGAAAGCGGGGGGCUCCGUAAGGACCUCGCGCUGUUGGAGCGGCCGAUGUCGGAUUAGCUAGUUGGUGGGGUAAAGGCCCACCAAGGCGACGAUCCGUAGCUGGUCUGAGAGGAUGAUCAGCCACACUGGAACUGAGACACGGUCCAGACUCCUACGGGAGGCAGCAGUGGGGAAUUUUGGACAAUGGGGGCAACCCUGAUCCAGCCAUUCCGCGUGAGUGAAGAAGGCC